AUUGAACGCUGGCGGCAGGCUUAACACAUGCAAGUCGAACGAGUGGCGGCCGGGUGAGUAAUGCUUUGGAAUCUAGCUCAUGGAGGGGGAUAACUCCGGGAACCUGUAGCUAAUACCGCGUACCAUAGGAUGAGCUCAUGUGGGAUUAGGUAGUUGGUGAGGUAAAGGCUCCCCAAGCCGACGAUCUCUAGCUGGUCUGCGAGGAUGACCAGCCACACAGGGACGGAGACACGGGCCAGACUCCGACGGGAGGCAGCAGUGGGGAAUAUUGCGCAAUGGGGGCAACCUGACGCAGCCAUGCCGCGUGAAUGAAGAAGGCCUUCGGGUUGUAAAGUUCUUUCGGUAGCGAGGCGUUAGCUACAGAAGAAGCACCGGCUAACUCCGUGCCAGCAGCCGCGGUAAUUC
rnacentral:rRNA from 1 species